ACCUAUAUCUGAAAGUGCCCUCCGUUGUUAUGUUUACAAGCAACCCGUUAGUGUUUCCAUAUAUGCAAGCUCACAUUUUAUGUCCUACAAAAGUGGAAUCUUUAAUGGAGACGAUUGCUCAGGCAUCAGUUCAUCAUGCAAACAUAAUCAUGCUGUAUUAAUCGUAGGAUAUGGUUCAACCAGUGAUGGUCAAGAUUACUGGAUCGUUAAAAACUCAUGGGGUUCCACUUGGGGACAAAGUGGUUACAUACUCAUCAAAAGAAACACCGGUGCUACUCGGGGUGUAUGUAACAUAAAGUGUUCUGGCGCAUACCCAACCAAGGGGAAGAAAGAAGAACCUGCCCUGAAGCUUGUCACUUCCAUAUGAAGCACGCCCUCCAGGAACAGUAUACGAAGCCAGGCAAUAUAAAGCUGUGUGAAAGACACCAGUUAGGUGUUGUACCAUGCUUGUAUCGGGUAUAAAUAAAUGGCAAAUGAUCUUCCAUGGAAUAAAUGAGUCUGGUGGCGAUAUAUAGUUAUGUGUGCCGUGGAAUAAAGCUUACGUAUGUUUAAUUAAGAAUGAAAGCUCUCCCUCUGUAUAUAUUUACUUCU